rnacentral:rRNA from 1 species
CAGUCGCCGCGGGAAUACCGAGUAUGCAAGCGUUAUCCGGAAUGAUUGGGUGUAAAGCGUCUGUAGGUGGCUUUUCAAGUCCGCCAUCAAAUCCCUGGGCUCAACCCUGGACAGGCAGUGGAAACUACCAAGCUGGAGUACGGUAGGGGCAGAGGGAAUUUCCGGUGGAGAGGUGAAAUGCGUUGAGAUUGGAAAGAACACCAACGGUGAAAGCGCUCUGCUGGGCCGACACUGACACUGAGAGACGAAAUCUAGGGGAGCAAAUGGGAUUAGAUACCCCAGUAGUCCCUGUCUCUUAUAC